AACGAACGCUGGCGGCAUGCCUAACACAUGCAAGUCGAACGAGACCUUCGGGUCUAGUGGCGCACGGGUGCGUAACGCGUGGGAACCUGCCCGUAGGUUCGGAAUAACUCCCCGAAAGGGGUGCUAAUACCGGAUAAUGUCUUCGGACCAAAGAUUUAUCGCCUUUGGAUGGGCCCGCGUUGGAUUAGCCAGUUGGUAGGGUAAAAGCCUACCAAGGCGACGAUCCAUAGCUGGUCUGAGAGGAUGACAAGCCACACUGGGGCUGAGACACGGCCCAGACUCCUACGGGAGGGAGCAGUAGGGAAUAUUGGACAAUGGGGGAAAGCCUGAUCCAGCAAUGCCGGGUGAGAGAUGAAGGCCUUAGGGUUGUAAAGCUCUUUUACCCGGGAUGAUAAUGACGGUACCGGGAGAAUAAGCUCCGGCUAACUCCGUG
rnacentral:rRNA from 1 species